CCUACGGGCGGCUGCAGUGGGGAAUAUUGCACAAUGGGCGCAAGCCUGAUGCAGCCAUGCCGAGUGUGUGAAGAAGGCCUUCGGGUUGUAAAGCACUUUCAGCGGGGAGGAAGGCGGUGAGGUUAAUAACCUCAUCGAUUGACGUUACCCGCAGAAGAAGCACCGGCUAACUCCGUGCCAGCAGCCGCGGUAAUACGGAGGGUGCAAGCGUUAAUCGGAAUUACUGGGCGUAAAGCGCACGCAGGCGGUCUGUCAAGUCGGAUGUGAAAUCCCCGGGCUCAACCUGGGAACUGCAUUCGAAACUGGCAGGCUAGAGUCUUGUAGAGGGGGGUAGAAUUCCAGGUGUAGCGGUGAAAUGCGUAGAGAUCUGGAGGAAUACCGGUGGCGAAGGCGGCCCCCUGGACAAAGACUGACGCUCAGGUGCGAAAGCGUGGGGAGCAAACAGGAUUAGAUACCCCAGUAGUC
rnacentral:rRNA from 1 species